rnacentral:rRNA from 1 species
AUUGAACGCUGGCGGCAGGCCUAACACAUGCAAGUCGAACGAGUGGCUUACGGGUGAGUCAUGUCUGGGAAACUGCCUGCUGGAUGGGGCUAACUCCUGGAAACGGUCGCUAAUACCGCCUACCAUCGUAUUUGCCCCGAUGGGAUUAGCUAGGAGGUGGGGUAAAGGCUCACCUAGUCGACGCUCCCUAGCUGGGCUGAGAGGAUGACCAGCAACACUGGAACUGAGACACGGUCCAGAGUCCUACGUGAGGCAGCAGUGGGGAAUAUUGCACAAUGGGCGCAAGACUGAUGCAGCCAUGCCGCGUGUAUGAAGAAGGCCUUCGGGUUGUAAAGCACUUGCAGCGAGGAGGCGGUACUCGCAGAAGAAGCACCGGCUAACUCCGUGCCAGCAGCAGCGGUAAUAC